rnacentral:lncRNA from 1 species
GGAAAUGGGAGGGUCACUCACCUCCUGCUUCAUUUCUUGUCAAGUUGGGACGGAUUUCGGGCGGAUUUAUUUUAAUUCUAUUUUUAGCUCCCAUUUAUCUCUCCGUUGCUAGAUUGAGAAGUGUUAAAUAUAAAAAAUAUAUAUAAACGCUGUUCUCUAAUAGUUUAAAUUUUUAGAGUACAACAGUUAUUUAACAAGUUCUGAUACUAUGUGAAACAACCGUUGUACUCUAAAAACUUAAGCUUGAUUAUUUCAUUUAUUUCAUAUGAUAUCAGAGCAGUGGGUCCUUAAUUCGAGUCACGCUAGACUCCUAACAUUAUUAAUUUUCUUUCAUUUAAUUCAAAUUCAUAUCAUAGACCUUAUAAAAAGUCUCAAGCCCAGAUAUGAGAAAAAAUAUUAAAUAUUAAAAUAUAUAAAUACCAUUCUUUAACGGUUAUUUAACAAGACGAGAUUGAAUUUUCGGUAAAAUUUUAGCAGGUCAGGACAAAUCCAAAGAAGGAAAGAGACUUCCGUCUCCCGCUCUACUUAAUGGAUGGGCGGAUUCAGAGCCAAUUACAUUUACCUAUAUCUUUGGCUUUAUUCACCAUUCUAUUCAGAACUAAUCUGGGUGAGAGCUCCACCAACCUGAAUCUAUUUGUAUUUGCUGACUU